AGCGUGGAACUAAUCUAUCUUCUGCUGUCCUUGGCCUAUCUUUUCUCUUCUGCCCUCUCUUGCUCACUAUUAAGGAUUAUCACCAUGGCACCUGUCAUUACAGAGGGCCUUGCAGUCCUCAGGCAAAGACAGCCCUAGAUAAACUGUGGUAAGACACAUAUAUUUGUCCUUUAUGCACCUUUAUAUCUCCCCACUUCCUUUUGCUCUUUCCCCCCCCAGAAAGGGAUUCUGUUCUCUGGGUUGUUUCUCUAAUAAGUCCUUCAGGUAGGGAC
rnacentral:lncRNA from 1 species